GGCAGGCCUUGGUCCGGGGGUCACUAAACCCUGGCGCCCAGCAACACUGCUCUGGGGGCCAUCACCCCACCCCCGCGUGCCACACCCACCCCAGGCCGGGCUGCUUUCCCGCCUCCAGUGCGCCUGCUCCUUCCCUUGCUCUUGGAUGGGUAAAAAAGAUUUUUCGGUUUUUGACUCAGAUGUCGCUCAGAUGUAAAAUAUCUCCAGCGUCGGGAGAGAACGCAUCAUGCUAAUGGGAAGCUCGCUCAGGGAAAGUCAAGUUCCCGGGGGUUUCUAGCCGUGGGGGUGACACCAGCCCCUGCCGAUCACCAGUCCCAUCCCGCCACCGCAGCUGGCACCCCACCUCGGGUGCUCAGACGCGCCUUCCUGCACCAGCCCUGUGCCCACCCCCACCCAUUCCUCUCUCUGCCGCCUGGCCAGCUCUCCUGGUGGCAGCGCCCACCAUCGCCCAGCCCCUGCGGGAUGUGGUCAGCCUCCAUCAGCAGGAGGGCCUCCAGAGCUGGGCAGAGGGAAGUGCAGGCCCUGGGCAGCCAGCCCUUGAGGGAUCGCAGGCAAGGAUGAGACGGACAGGCCGUUCCUGACAGUGUGGAGUUGGGGUGCACAGGAAAACAGCUGUGGAAAGGGCUGCCUGAGGCUCCAGUGGUCGCAAGACCAGCCACAGGAGGAAAGGAGGAAGGCUAUUGCCACCCCAACUUCACAGACAGGGUCUGAGGCCUGCCUUGGACCUCCUCCAUGUUGGGCUUUUCUCCAGGAGAUCGUUCUCAGCCUGGAGCUGGAGGAGCCUGGAGCAAACCCUUCCUGCAGGCCACCUCCCAACCCAGGCCCACUUGGGAUGCUCCUGUCCAGCCUGGGCCAAAAGGGCUCUAAGCCACUAGCUGGGCCACAUCAGAGGCACCCAGAGGGACUGGCCUGGCCCCCAGCCCCCAGGCUCUGUUGGAAGCUCCCCCGUGUGGGCAGGAGGAGGCAGAUGCAGACGUGCACCUGACAGAGAGGGGACGGGGGACCAGCCCUGGCGGAAGACUGGGCAGCAGCACAACGGAGGGCCCACCCCACCCGCCCCAGGUCACCAGCGCCCCAGGCCACCCGGACCAAACAGCACAACA
ensembl:lncRNA